rnacentral:rRNA from 1 species
CCUACGAGAGGCAGCAGUGGGGGAUAUUGCACAAUGGGGGAAACCCUGAUGCAGCGACGCCGCGUGUGGGAAGACGGUCCUCUGGAUUGUAAACCACUGUCCCCAGGGACGAAGAUGACGGUACCUGGGGAGGAAGCUCCGGCUAACAACGUGCCCGCAGCCGCGGUAAUACGUAGUGAGCGAGCGUUGUCCGGAAUUACUGGGUGUAAAGGGAGCGUAGGCGGGGAUGCAAGUUGGGUGUCAAAACUACCGGCUCAACGGGUCGUCGCACGCAAAACUGCAGCUCUUGAGUGAAGUAGAGGCAGGCGGAAUUCCUAGUGUAGCGGUGAAAUGCGUAGAUAGUAGGAGGAACACCGAUUGCGAAGGCAGCAUACCGGCGCCCGACUGACGCUGAGGCACGAAAGCGUGGGUAUCGAACAGGAUUAGAUACCCCUGUAGUC